GCAGGUGUCCCCUUCCUCCCUCACCACUUCAUGUGCAUCCCUCCCGAAGCUGCCUGCUUGGUCAAAGAGGACAGCCAUCCCCGACAGAGGAGGACUGGUCUUUGGUCAAGGGUAUACGAGUAGCUGUGCUCCCCUGCUGGAACCUCCAAACAAGCUGUUAGAGCAACACAAAACAGUCUAAGACAUGGAUUAUCUAUCUAUGUUGUGAAAUUAAAUGUAGUGUCAAAGCUGU
rnacentral:sRNA from 10 species